GAUGAACGCUGGCGGCGUGCUUAACACAUGCAAGUCGAACGGUGAACGAGGGAGCUUGCUCCCUCCGGAUCAGUGGCGAACGGGUGAGUAACACGUGAGCAAUCUGCCCUGGACUCUGGGAUAAGCGUUGGAAACGACGUCUAAUACCGGAUACGAGACGCGAAGGCAUCUUCAGAGUUUGGAACGAACUUCGGUCCAGGAUGAGCUCGCGGCCUAUCAGGUAGUUGGUGAGGUAACGGCUCACCAAGCCUACGACGGGUGGCCGGCCUGAGAGGGUGACCGGCCACACUGGGACUGAGACACGGCCCAGACUCCUACGGGAGGCAGCAGUGGGGAAUAUUGCACAAUGGGCGCAAGCCUGAUGCAGCAACGCCGCGUGAGGGACGACGGCCUUCGGGUUGUAAACCUCUUAGCAGGGAAGAAGCGAAAGUGACGGUACCUGCAGAAAAAGCACCGGCUAACUACGUGCCAGCCGCCGCGGUAAUAC
rnacentral:rRNA from 1 species